rnacentral:lncRNA from 1 species
GAGAAAUUAGCAUGCCUCUCGCCGCUCUGUCCAAAUGAGAAACUAUAUGCUACACCGCACAUACCAAUAUUGUCACACGCCACGUUAAUCCCCAUGAUGCAUUUUUGCAGGUCAAUCAUGGAGACGGACAUAUGAUGAAUGGGAUUCAAAGGAAUGAGUUUUGGCGAUUGGCAUGGUGCAUGAACAUAUCAUGCAGAACAUAACCUUCUCUCCA